rnacentral:misc_RNA from 1 species
AACUGAUACUACCUGCGGGAACCUGCGGAGGGAUCAUUAGUGAACGCCCUCACGGGCUUAUAACUAUUCCAAACCUCUGUGAACCGUGCCCUUCGGGGCUAUUUUACAAACAUGGUGUAAUGAACGUCAUAUAUCAUAACAAAACAAAACUUUCAGCAUGGAUCUCU